GGACCCGCACAAGCGGUGGAUGAUGUGGUUUAAUUCGAUGCAACGCGAAAAACCUUACCUACCCUUGACAUGUCUGGAAUCCUGAAGAGAUUUGGGAGUGCUCGAAAGAGAGCCAGAACACAGGUGCUGCAUGGCCGUCGUCAGCUCGUGUCGUGAGAUGUUGGGUUAAGUCCCGCAACGAGCGCAACCCUUGUCAUUAGUUGCUACGAAAGGGCACUCUAAUGAGACUGCCGGUGACAAACCGGAGGAAGGUGGGGAUGACGUCAGGUCAUCAUGGCCCUUAUGGGUAGGGCUACACACGUCAUACAAUGGCCGGGACAGAGGGCUGCCAACCCGCGAGGGGGAGCUAAUCCCAGAAACCCGGUCGUAGUCCGGAUCGUAGUCUGCAACUCGACUGCGUGAAGUCGGAAUCGCUAGUAAUCGCGGAUCAGCUUGCCGCGGUGAAUACGUUCCCGGGUCUU
rnacentral:rRNA from 1 species